AAUCAACGCUGGCGGCGUGCCUAACACAUGCAAGUCGAACGCGAAAGUGGAGCAAUCCAUGAGUAGAGUGGCAAACGGGUGAGUAACGCGUGGGUGACCUGCCUUCGAGUGGGGGAUAACGUUCCGAAAGGGACGCUAAUACCGCAUGACAUCCUGCCUUUGAAGAGGCGGAGAUCAAAGCCGGGGAUCGCAAGACCUGGCGCUUGAUGAGGGGCCCGCGUCUGAUUAGCUAGUUGGUGGGGUAACGGCCUACCAAGGCAACGAUCAGUAUCCGGCCUGAGAGGGCGGACGGACACACUGGGACUGAGACACGGCCCAGACUCCUACGGGAGGCAGCAGUGGGGAAUUGUUCGCAAUGGGCGCAAGCCUGACGACGCAACGCCGCGUGGAGGAUGAAGACC
rnacentral:rRNA from 1 species